AACGAACGCUGGCGGCAGGCUUAACACAUGCAAGUCGAGCGAGACCUUCGGGUCUAGCGGCGGACGGGUGAGUAACGCGUGGGAACGUGCCCUUCUCUACGGAAUAGCCCCGGGAAACUGGGAGUAAUACCGUAUACGCCCUUUGGGGGAAAGAUUUAUCGGAGAAGGAUCGGCCCGCGUUGGAUUAGGUAGUUGGUGGGGUAAUGGCCCACCAAGCCGACGAUCCAUAGCUGGUUUGAGAGGAUGAUCAGCCACACUGGGACUGAGACACGGCCCAGACUCCUACGGGAGGCAGCAGUGGGGAAUCUUAGACAAUGGGGGCAACCCUGAUCUAGCCAUGCCGCGUGAGUGAUGAAGGGCCUUAGGGUUGUAAAGCUUCUUUCAAGCUGGGAAAGAUAAAGAC
rnacentral:rRNA from 1 species